AACAUGUUUCAUGGAUUAUAUCUGAGCUGCUCCUUCUAGUUCUCUCCUUAAAUUGACACGACAAUCAGGACUCCAGAACAUUACUUUUUUUUUUUUUUUUUUUUUGAUAACCGAGAAAUCCGUCUGUGACCCGCCCUUUGGACCAAUCACAACCUUCUAAACUAGGUGGAUAAUGGGCCCGCCCCUCUACCCUUCUCCACUUAAAAGAACAUUACUUUAUUUUUAGGAAACAGAAUUCCAGAAAAUUGAUGGUUCAAAAUUCAGCUGAAUUGAAACACUAUAAUGACAGAGUUCAAGUAAUAUACACCGUCAAUGUUUUAAUAUUUACACCAUCAGAUCAACUUUACCUGCUACGACAAGUAACAUAUAAUUUGCCUAUACAUAUCCUAUGACCAGAUAGUGUAAAAUAUUAUUUACAUUGACAUUGACUGUGUAUAAUACUUAAAAUCAC
rnacentral:lncRNA from 1 species